UUUUUCGAUAUUGAACUUUCCACAGAGCUCUGUUCUUUUCUUUGCAAAACCUUGGAAAUCUUCUAUUUUGUUGAAUGCCCAUACUUUCGCUUGGAAGUAUAUAGUCAGUUUUGAUGGGUAGCUGAUUCUUGGUUGAAGGCCCAGCUCUCUUGCCUUUCUGAAAAUCAUGUUCCAUGCCUUAUGAUCAUUCAGAGUGGAACUUGCAAGGUCUUGUGUGACCCUGUUUGGCAUUCCUUUAUAUCUAAAUUGUCUUUUUCUGGCUUCUUAUGAGUUUUUUUUUUCUUUUGCUUGGAAGCUUUGGAAUUAGGCAAUUACAUUCCUGGGAGUUGUCUUUUGGGGGUUUAGUGUAGAGGGUAUUCUGUGAACUCUUUCAGUGCCUGUAUUUCCCCCUUGUUCUAGAAUCUCUGGGAAAUUUUUUUAUUAUAUCUUGUAUUAUGAUGUUGAAUUUGCUGUUCAUUUCUGGGUUUUCUGGUAGUCCAAUUAUUCUUAAAUUGUCUCUUCUCCCUCUAUUUUCCAAGUCUAUGACCUUGUCAGUGAGAUAUUUUAUGUUCUCUUCUAAUUUCUUGGUCUUUUGGCUUUGCUUUAUUAAUUCUUUCUCUUUUACAUACAUUUUGAGAUCGGUUAGGAAGGGUUUCAGGAGAUCUGAACUUUAGCUCUCUCUAAGCUGCCAUCUUGACCGGAAGUCCCAGAUUAGUUGUUCUUUGAAUGUUUGAUAGAAUUCAUUUGUGAAUCCAUCUGGACCUUUGGGAUAUUUUUCUUAGAGAGUCCUCUGAUGGCUUGUUUAAUUUCUUUUUCUGAUAUGGUGUAGUUUAGGUAAUCUAUUUCUUCCUCUGUUAGUCUAGGCCAUUUAUAUUUUUGUAAUUCAUCCAUAUCACCUAGAUUGCCAUAGUUAUUGCCAUAUACUUGGGCAUAAUUAUUUUUAAUGAUUGCCAUAAUGUCCUUUUCAUUAGAGGUAAGGUCUCCCUUUUCAUCUUGGAUAGUUUCAAUUUGGUUUUCUACUUUCCUUUUUUAAAUUAGAUUGACCAGUACAUGGUCUAUUUUAUUUGUUUUUUUCAAAGUACCAGCUUCUAGUCUUAUUUAUUAAAUCAAUAGUUCUUUGACUUUCAGUUUUAUUAAUUUCUCCUUUGACUUUUUAUCUCUAAUUUAUUCUUCAUCUGAGGAUUUUUAAUUUGUUCACUUUCUAGUUUUUUUUUUUAUUUGCAUGCCC
rnacentral:lncRNA from 1 species